rnacentral:rRNA from 1 species
UGAGUACGAGCUGCUACGGCAGCGAAGUGGGUGAUGUCAAGCUUCCAAGAAAAGCCCUAUACCCGUUAAGGCAUGAUGGCCUGUACCCGAAACCGACACAGGUGGGGUGGUAGAGAAUACCGAGGGGCGCGAGAUAACUCUCUCUAAGGAACUCGGCAAAAUGGCCCCGUAACUUCGGGAUAAGGGGUGCCACCGCAAGGUGGUCGCAGUGAAGAGGCCCAGGCGACUGUUUACCAAAAACACAGGUCUCCGCUAAGUCGCAAGACGAUGUAUGGGGGCUGACGCCUGCCCAGUGCCGGAAGGUUAAGGGGGCUGGUCAGCGUAAGCGAAGCUAGCGACUGAAGCCCCGGUGAACGGCGGCCGUAACUAUAACGGUCCUAAGGUAGCGAAAUUCCUUGUCGGGUAAGUUCCGACCCGCACGAAAGGCGUAACGAUCUGGGCGCUGUCUCGGAGAGAGGCUCGGCGAAAUAGAAUUGUCUGUGAAGAUGCGGACUACGUGCACCCGGACAGAAAGACCCUAUGAAGCUUUACUGUAGCUUGGUAUUGUGCCCGGGCUCUGAAUGCGCAGGAUAGGUGGGAGGCUUUGAUCCAUUGCUUGUGGGUGAUGGUGAGCCAACGGUGAGAUACCACUCUUUCAGAGCUAGGGUUCUAACGGUCACCCGUCAUCCGGGGACCGGACAGUAUCAGGUGGGCAGUUUGACUGGGGCGGUCGCCUCCUAAAAGGUAACGGAGGCGCGCAAAGGUUUGCUCAGGCUGGUUGGAAAUCAGCCGUCGAGUGCAAAAGCAGAAGCAAGCUUGACUGUGAGACCUACAAGUCGAACAGGGACGAAAGUCGGCUUUAGUGAUCCGACGGUUCUGAGUGGAAGGGCCGUCGCUCAACGGAUAAAAGUUACUCUAAGGAUAACAGGCUGAUCUCCCCCAAGAGUUCACAUCGACGGGGAGGUUUGGCACCUCGAUGUCGGCUCAUCGCAACCUGGGGCUGAAGUCGGUCCCAAGGGUUGGGCUGUUCGCCCAUUAAAGCGGUACGCGAGCUGGGUUCAGAACGUCGUGAGACAGUUCGGUCCAUAUCCGGUGCAUGCGCAGGAAUAUUGAGAGGAUUUCUCCCUAGUACGAGAGGACCGGGAGGAACGCACCUCUGGUGUGCCAGUUAUCGUGCCAACGGUAAACGCUGGGUAGCCAUGUGCGGAGUGGAUAACCGCUGAAAGCAUCUAAGUGGGAAGCCCACCUCAAGAUGAGUAUUCCCAUGGCGUUAGCCAGUAAGGUCACGGGAAGAACACCCGUUGAUAGGCUCUACGUGGAAGCCGGGUAACCGGUGAAGCGGAGGAGUACUAAUAGACCGAGGGCUUGAC